AAAGAGCUGGACGUGCAGAUCAGGAAGCACCUUCCACAGGUCCUAGGAGGAGUGCUGGGGAGCCUGGAGGUAUAGCAGGCUGGUGGGCAGACCGAGGGGAGGGGCCUAAAGUUAACUGGGCCGGAGGAGGCAACAAUGAGAGGGCACAGAAAUAACAGUCGGUGGGGCAGAAGGUCAGAGAGGGCGGUGGACCCUGAAACAGGGCCUGGAGAGCUGUUGGCAGUAACCCUCACUUUAGUGAACUUCUUGGGACACUAGAAAGAAAGGCUCAGAAACAACCUGGUUACAUGGAGAACCCCUGUGGGGAGUUUGCGGACCACUGGAGAGGAGGAUUCUGGGGAAAGACAGGCAUGCUUGUAAUUCAAGGUGAUUAUUCAAGAGCGGACUCUGAGCGUCUAGAUCUGGAGCCAACUGAACUUGAUUAAUAUUCAACGAGGUCACCACUAUACCAGAUGUCCGCUUCUCUGACCCGCCACAGGAAGAUCACUAUGCGGGACUUGUAAAAGAGAUUUCCAAAACUCAGUUUUGUAACUUUUGGCCACGUGUCUAUUCAAGAGUAUCAAAGCGUUGAGGCAGUUAUCCAGGAGGUCUGAAAUGACAGAAGGUGUUUGGAGAGCGUGCUUAGCACUCUGUGACUUCCACUCACACUUGCCUCCUCCCUCUCCCUCACUUCCAGCCCAGGGAGGGGAGCUUUAAUGGGAUCCUCAAGGAGCUGGACAUUUAAUUCACAGAGCCGAAGGGGCUUGGUGGACUGAUGUUUGAUUCAUGCCUAAAAAUUCUAAAGGGUAUGAGAACGUGAUUGUGGAUGGCCUGGACUCAUGGACAGAGUUCCACAGAGCAGCAUUUGCAGGUGGCCCAGAGGUGCUGUUGGCCACCUGUGGCAUGUUCAGAGGUAUGAUGGGGAGAUGACACCAGGUGACCAGGAUUCAAAAGGGCUUGCUGAGGUGGUGGAGGCCCAGCAUUCGACAAGGAAAGAGUGUAAGGCCCCUCUGAGUCAGUGUCACUCCAGCCACCUGCAGUCCCCAGCCCGGGCUGGGGUGGAAAUGCAGGGCAGCAGAAUGAGCGUGGGUUUUGAAAUCCAUCUGUGAUUUGGACCAGCUGUGGCAGAUUACUUAACAGCUCUGUAUCCUUUUGGGAGGUAAUAAUACCCACCUUAUGCAAUUCUUGUGAGAAUCAAAAUGAGUGCAAGCAUGUGAAAUAUUUAAUGCCUGGCAUUUAAGAAAUGUUCAACAAUAGUUUCUAUUCCAAAUUCACCCAUCCUCAGC
rnacentral:lncRNA from 10 species